rnacentral:tRNA from 1 species
GCCCUCGUGGCUCAGUUGGUAGAGCGUUACAUUGGUAAUGUAGAGGUCCCGAGUUCAAGUCUCGGCGAGGGCU